ACAGGGAUUACCUCAGUAACGGCGAGUGAAGCGGUAACAGCUCAAAUUUGAAAUCUGGCUUCGGUCCGAGUUGUAAUUUGUAGAAGAUGCUUCGGGUGUGGCUCCGGUCUAAGUUCCUUGGAACAGGACGUCAUAGAGGGUGAGAAUCCCGUAUGUGACUGGCUGCCUCCCCUAUGUGAAGCUCUUUCGACGAGUCGAGUUGUUUGGGAAUGCAGCUCAAAAUGGGUGGUAUAUUUCAUCUAAAGCUAAAUAUUGGCCAGAGACCGAUAGCGCACAAGUAGAGUGAUCGAAAGAUGAAAAGCACUUUGGAAAGAGAGUUAAACAGUACGUGAAAUUGUUGAAAGGGAAGCGCUUGCAAUCAGACUUGCACGUUGCCGAUCAUCCGGUGUUCUCACCGGUGCACUCGGUUGCGUUCAGGCCAGCAUCGGUUUGGGUGGUUGGAUAAAGGCCUUGGGAAUGUAGCUUCUUUCGGGGAGUGUUAUAGCCCUCGGUGCAAUGCAGCCUACCCGGACCGAGGACCGCGCUUCGGCUAGGAUGCUGGCGUAAUGGUUGUAAGCGACCCGUCUUGAAACACGGACCAAGGAGUCUAACAUCUAUGCGAGUAUUUGGGUGUUAAACCCAUAUGCGUAAUUAACGUGAACGGAGGUAAGAACCCUUAAGGGUGCAUUAUCGACCGGUCCUGAUGUCUUCGGAUGGAUCUGAGUAAGAGCAUAGCUGUUGGGACCCGAAAGAUGGUGAACUAUGCCUGAAUAGGGUGAAGCCAGAGGAAACUCUGGUGGAGGCUCGCAGCGGUUCUGACGUGCAAAUCGAUCGUCAAAUUUGGGUAUAGGGGCGAAAGACUAAUCGA
rnacentral:rRNA from 1 species